rnacentral:rRNA from 1 species
CAGUAGCCACGGUAAUACGAGGGGUGCAAGCGUUAUUCGGAUUGAUUGGGUGUAAAGGGUGUGCAGACGGCUUAUUAAGUCACUCGUUAAAUUCUUCGGCCUAACUGAAGGUCUGCAAGUGAUACUGAUGAGCUAGAGGGUGGAAGAGAGAAGUGGAAUUCUCGGAGUAGCGGUAAAAUGCGUAGAUCUCGAGAGGAACACCAAUGGCGAAGGCGACUCUCUGGUCUGUAACUGACGCUGAGGAGCGAAAGCGUGGGGAGCGAACAGGAUUAGAUACCCCCGUAGUCCCUGUCUCUUAUAC